CUUGUCUACAAGUUGUAAAUCCUACUGAAAGGAAGCAAUCCUUUAAAUACAAAAUACAAAAUCUACAGAUUACUUCAGGAACACUGGCAUGUUGCUAGACAGUAGCACUGUUAUUUGGGUUUGCAAUUGCUUGUGAUUUAAACAUAACUGCACGUUAAUUCUUCAAAGAGCAGGAUAGCAGGGGCUUUUUUUUUUAGAUCACUUACCACUUCUUCCCACCUCAGGUUUGCUCAUCUUGGUCUGAACUGUGUAACUGUAAAUGAAUGAAAACCCCAGGCACCACUUUUCCAUAUACAAACUUGGAAUGAAAAUCCAUACAAACUCCUUUUGCUUUACAGCAUUGAACAUUGUUUAUGGAAUUGUAAUUGUGGCAAUUUUCCAACUUCUACAAAAUAAGGUGUAUUAUGAAGUGAAAUGCUCAGGAAGCGCUUCAAGGUAAGCAAGCAAGAUUCAAUCGAAACAAACCAGAAAGCCACAAUAAUUUCUUCUUCACUCAUACAGUGAGUAACUAAUGCUCAGCAGAAGUAAGACCUCUUUCCCAAACACAAAUGGCCUCUCCAGAUCGAUUAAAGUUUUAAGAAGAUCAUAUUAAAUAUCACAUGUACGACAGAAGAUGAGAUGCAGUUACCCAUAAAGAUCUUCCUGAUCCCAGAUACUUAAGGAAUUUGAGUCCAUUUAGUACUGAAGCCUAAGCCCAGUUCAUACACACGUGGAUCCUAGAAGAUACGUCUUUAAGGCUGCUCUUACCAAAGUCAUUGCAAUUGCCUUAGUUGGGCAAGCAGAAACACCAGCGACCACACCACGGAGGAGAGCAAGCUGCAAACGUGCCCUAACUCCUCUUCACCUUGUCAAACAACAGAAGACCAGAACAUAAGUGAGAAGUACAGCCCCCCUGUUGCUCAAGAGUAGCCCAGUGCUGUUGAUCUUGCUGUUGGAUUUAGCCUGUUUCAGAAUCUUCAGAGGCAGUUUUCCUUUGAAAAAGUCCUGGUUUACCACUUAGGUUUAGUUUUUAAAGAAAUAAAAACAAUGAAAACUCA